UAAAUAACAUCAGCUCAGUGUUCAUCUGCAUUGUGUUCUAUAUUAACGUUUCUACAUAAUCGUGACUAACAAAUGGAUCGUUCGUUAAUAUUUCUCCUUGGCACUUUCAUUAGCGGGGAUUGGCUGGUUGUGUUGGCGCAUGUAAAGAACUAUGCGAGUCUAUCUAGCAAUGAACCAAAACAAGAUCAGUGUUCUUCAAUCCUACGUGAAUUUUCCAUCCAAUUCUUUUGGUCUAAUGCCGUCGGAUAUGUCAUAUACUUUGGUGUCUGUGGAUAUUUAGAAUGGUCAUACUACACGUGCCGGCGGGAAAGAGCCACCGAAUGGAAAUGUCAGCCUCGCAAAUGGUCGAACCGAGACUCGCGCCUGGAUCAGAUCAAAUGGGGUGUUCUCGGGCUUUUCUGCACAAGCUCUUUGUCGGCAGUGUUAGCUACUAACGUCGCCUGUGGUGGUUACAGUACAGUCUACUUGGAAUUUGGACAGUACUCCUGGCAGUGGUGGAUACUACAGUGGCCUGCGAUUUUCAUUUUACAGGAUUACACCACUUACUGGAUCCACCGUAUGUACCACACUCCUUUCUUGUACAAACGUUUCCAUUGUGUUCACCAUCGGUACUAUCAACCUACACCGUGGUCCGUGACGGCCAUUCAUCCGGUUGAAAUUAUCACAGUACAUCUAGGUUUGGUAGCACCAAUGUUUACCUUUCCCGUACACUGGUUUCCUUUUUCCGUCAUUAUGCUGUACUUAUACUACCACGGUAUCAUCCAACAUUCGGGUAUCAAUUUGAAAGCGCGUUGGUGGCAGCCUUGGCAACCGGAUGUGAUGUUCCACGAUAUCCACCAUCAGUUUGUAGACGUUAACUUUGGAUUUAACUGCUACAUCUGGGAUCAGAUUCACGGCUCUACUAGGAAAGUACCUCAAUGAGACGUACUCGAACUCUUUAAGAUAGAAGGACGGACAAGGAGGCCUUUUCGCGGCUACGCAUGCAUUGCUACACAAUAAUCUAAUAAAGAUAUUUAUGCAAAAAAGUGCAUUUAAAUGCCAGGUGUAUACCUACUAUUGGAAAUAAUGUUUUUUUAUUUGUAAGAUAAAAAAAAAUUGAUAUAAGGUCAUUAAAAGCUUAAAUAAUUAUAACCAAAUCGAAUACUUACCAUAAAAUUGGUUUUUUCUUUAUUUUUCAAUAUGCUAUGUAUUUGAUCGAAUGACCUACUUUUUAAAACUCAAUUAUUGUCAAAAUAAAUAUUGAAGGUCUUUUCAAAAUAUUGUAAACAGAGUCUACCGAAAGUAGUGUUACUGGAGUAGUUAAGUUAGGCGGAAUAACCAAUCCUAACAAAAUGUGCUAGUUCAAUUUUUUAAAUCAAACCAAUAAUUACUUACAAUAUUAUAAUAACGUCUGUUUUCUGUUUUAAAAAUGAUUUGAAUGCAUUUAAGACAUUAUUUUUUACAUACGGGUUCUAUAAGUUUUUUACCAUUAGUUCUUUACUUAACUUAAUUCUUUAUUCUCAUCUCGCGUUGAACCUCCUUGAAUGUAUGUUUAUCACGUAGGUAGUUAAGAUAAAAAGAAGCUAAACUCUGAUAUUUUCUUUUUUAUCAAAAUACAAAAAUAUAAUACCCACUUUAUGUAAUGUUUAUUAAAAAAAAUAACUCAUAUUCCGCGGCUUGUUAUCUAUGAAGACUGGAGUAUCAUGAAAAAAAAAAUACUUUUGUUAGGAAUACUGAAACCAUUAUAAGCGAUAAAAGCACAAGACUGUUGGUUAAAUUGAUUAAUUCAUAAAAAAUUCGAUUGUCCCAAAGUUCUAGAUAAUAUCCCUCCUUUUAAUGUUGCCUCUGUGCAUUUACAAUCCAUAGCAUUGUUUUAUACUUCACUUGUUCGGCAGAACUGUACAUAGCUUUUUCGCUCCAGUCAACCGAAUGCUAUAUUCAAAGCAGUACAGUCCAAACCAAGCACAGUAUAAACCAGCACACUAAGUAAGUAUUAUAACAAUGAAAAUGUUUCCAUUGCCUGUUGACUGUUGAUUCAUUCACACAGGCUGCCAAGCUAGCGAGUCUCUGUUGAUCAGAAAACGCACCCACCUGAAAUGUACCUAAUUUGGCCAGACAUUCUUGAUGGUUUAACCCGCCAAAACAGAGAGCAAUAGACAAAAACGUAUUUUGCUUAUUUUUUAUAAUGUACAUAUUUUUUACUUAACAUGUUUGUUAGACAAUUGUAUUUUGUUAGCAAAAUAUACAUUUAAUUAAAAUGGCGCCUUAUGGUGAUUAAAGAAAGCGCUAACUACCAGAUGCUAUAUGUGUAUUAUGUGAGUUGGUUAGAUCUCCAAAUAUUUUUUUACAUAUUGGGCAUUAAAGGGUCAGUACUCGCUCCUUUUGCAGUGUAUUAUAUUAUUAAUGACACAUACAUUUUAAUCAUUGCUUUUUUCUCAAGUAGUUAUCAAGCAUAUUAUACAGUUUAUACAAUAUAUGUACAGCAUAAUACUAUACCGUUUGAAACAUAUAUCGACAAUUACCUGCAUAAUCGAUACCGUCUUUUCGAGUGUGUAGGAAUAAUUACAGUUUUGAGUGUUUUAAACAGUUAGUAGGUGGGGAAUUAUCUAAUAAAAUAGAUAACAUGUAAUUUUUUUCUAUACUUCAGUAAAAUAUCAUCAGCUCAGUGUUCAUCUGCAUUGUGUUCUAUAUUAACGUUUCUACAUGCCUACAUAAUCGUGACAAACAAAUGGAUCGUUCGUUAAUAUUUCUUAUUGGCACUUUCAGUAGCGGUAAACCUACCCGGAUUUGAUCUAUUUAAUUAUUUUUGCUUCGAAAAUGCCGAUUUCAUAAGGUGAUUGGCUGGUUGUGUUGGCGCAUGUAAAGAACUAUGCGAGUCUAUCUAGCAAUGAACCAAAACAAGAUCAGUGUGCUUCAAACCUACGUGAAUUUUCCAUUCAAUUCUUUU